rnacentral:tRNA from 1 species
ACCUGGGUGGCUCAGUCGGUUGAGCGUCUGACCUUGGCUCAGGUCCCGAUCUCACAGUUUGUGGGUUCGAGCCCCACGUCGGGCU